rnacentral:lncRNA from 1 species
AAAAAUAGGUUUCGUUAAAGAGGUAAAUAUACACUUAUACGCUUUAGGUUAAUUAAUCCAAACCUUAGGAUUUAGAGUUAAGGGAUGGGGUUUUGAAAUUAGGGUUUAAAAUUUUACAAAAAAUAAAUACUAAAAUAAAAAAUAAAAAUUUUAAAAACAGUUUCAAAAAGUAUUUUUAAAUUAUAAAAAGAAAAUUUGAAAAAAAAAUAAAAAAAUUUCAAAAAAAAAAUUUCAAAAGAAAAUUAUAAAAAUUUCGAAUCUGAAAACAUAUAAUCUGAAACUAUAAAAAAAAUUUAUUUUUUCAUUUUUUUUAGAGAAAAAGACUAAGAUAGCACCAAACCAAGUUUUUGUUCCCAAAGUAGCACUCAAGGCUCAAAGUCACAAAAAUACUUUCAUUAAAGAGGUAAAUAUACACUUAUACCCCUUGGGUUAAUUAAUCCAAACCUUAGGGUUUAGAGUUAAGGGGGUGAGGUUUUGGAAUUAGGGUUUAAAAUUUUAUAAAAAAUAAAUACUAAAAUAAAAAUAAAAAUUUUAAAAACAGUUUCAAAAAGUAUUUUUAAAUUAUAAAAAGAAAAUUAAAAAA